AGGCACCGCACGCUGAUACCGCGCCCGUUCGCGGCUGCUCGCGCCGAGGCUCCGAGGCUCGGGAUCACUCGAGAGCCAACUCUUUUUUUUUUUCUUUUUUUUUUUUUUUUUUCAAAGCAAGUUCUUAGCAAAAAAAAAAAGGAAUCGGUCGUUCCUCACAUCUUGUUUUCUUUUCCUUUUUUUUUUUUUCCCUUUUUUUUUUUUUUUGAAAGGGAGAAAAUAGAACUGAUUGGCCGUAUAUUUACACUUUCAGGCUUAGCUGAUUAAAACUGCCCUGAGUGAAGUUUUCAAUGAGCACCGAAAGGAAUGGCAGCCAACGGCUUGGAGGUUUUCUUUUCUUUUUUUUUUUUUUUCUUUUUUUUUUUCUUUUUGCCCACGAAAGCAGCAUUUUGUGGUAGAAAUAGCAAUGAGAGCACUGAAAAAAAUACAUAAAAAAUACAGCGUUGCCGAUACCACUCGUCUGUAUUUAGAUUACGUAUCGUUCUGCCCUAAAGCAACUCUAGUUGCUAUUUUUCACCCAUUUUUUUUUCCCAACUAUGAUGCAGAAAUAAGACCUAGCAGAUAGGAUGUCAGCCUCUUUGCCAGGAUGUGGUAUUCUCUUAUACGAAUCACACUGUUGUCCUCUCGAAUGGCAUUUCUGAGGUCUCAUUAAGGAUUUCUAAAGGCAGUGAAGUUUCUGCACCGCCGCUAUCCCAUCCGUGCUUGCAGACACACACAGGCCCAAUCCUGCGUGUGGUUCUGUGCUUCGUUAUGGCCCUGUUCAGACCGAAGCUGGAAGUCGUAUUACACAAUCACUGCUCUCAGUAUUACUUAGGGCUGCACGAAGCGUAAACCCAAUGCAAUAGUCUCGGUUUGCAUCACCCACUUCGUAUCGCUGGGGUUUAAGCUAAAUAAUGCACAAUUGCCAUAAUUUUAGGAUCAGGGUGGUUAAAUAUUUGACGGCGAGGAAGGGCAGCCGCUCUCGUCUAACAGCCCCUGCAAUAGGAGGUGGGUAUUGCACUCUCUGGCUGCAGCAUCUGGGAGAGGAUUGUCAGCUUGUUUCCUCAGUGACUGGCAAAGCCAAGGAGUCACAGCAGGAGCACAGCUGAGGACAGAAGGCAGGGGAGAGGGAUUUUGAGCCUCAACAAAAGCGAUGUCAGUUCUUUAGAUCAGAUUUCCGUUCCAGAUAACGUGGGCUCAUCAGAACGGUGGAAGUCCUAUCUGCUGUGGCAGCUAAGAGAGGGUAGAGCUGCAGUUUCUGUGCUGCACUCCUUUCCUUGCACCUUUCCUCGCUGAAGCACUACCUGCACGCCGCCAAUCCCCCCACUGUAGGCACUUCUCCUCACAGGGUGUCAUUACGUUCUCAGAGAAUCUUCCACUGCUGUAACAUGUGACAUGGCCAGCAUUUGUCAUGUUAUCUGCUCUCCUGUUGCCAGGGGGAGGAGCAUGUGCAGUUGAAUGUUUUGAGUUUUAUCUGCCUUUUUUGUUUUUUUUUUUUUUCUUUUUCUUCAAUAUAUGUGUUGUGUGUUUACAGUAGUGAGGCAAGGUCAAAGUCAUGUAUUUUGUUCUCCAAGCACUACGUGGUUGGUUGGGCUCCUGAUGGCCCUUAGCUCCUGGGCGUAUUCAUCCCAUAGACUUGCUCCAGCCCCUGAGAAAAGUGUAUCUGUAGAAAUGUUAGCUUUUUUCCCCUACUUGUGUAAAUUCUCUUGUGUCAGGUGAGAGAAACUGCCGACACGAGGCUGUAGUCUGGAGACCCAGGCAUUUCUUUGGGAAACCUGGAUUUAGGCCCCGGGAGGAUCUGGAGACCCCAAAUCUGUCAUUUAAAGUUCUAUAGAAAAUCAGUAUUAAGUGGAAGAGAGGGACUCAUAUUCACCUACCCCACUGAGAUGACAUUCCCCCCGGCUUCCUAUACUUGGGAGUUCCCUAUAUGGAUCAAGAAUCACACUUGGGUAUCCCAAACGGCCGGGGUCUGUCUGCAAGGUGGCACAACCAAAGCAAGGUACUGAUCUCCCAGAAUGGCCCAGGAGCUCCCAGCUCGUCAGGGAUGGUUAGAAAGCUGGAGGCUGUCUUUUGACUCAGGCACGCAUUACUUUGCAAAUUACCUUGCUAUGUGUUUUUAAGAUUUAUUUUACAACCGUGAGGAUUAGAGGAAUUUGUCGUAAUGAAAACUGGCAUUGUGUCACUACUGUGUAACUGUGUAGCUGGAUUCUUUGGUCUGCCUGGGUACUUGCAUAUUAUUCCACUCUCUACUGGUCCAGCUCCUAAGUGAGUUACACCAAAUGGAGGCCAACAAGGUAUACCCAACGUGGAGCAAUUAUAAUAACGUGCACAUCUACAUAUUAUUUGGGUUCCCUGUUUUGGUAUGGCAUAUGUGUGCAUGGCCAGUGGAAAUUCCAACUUUUUUUUUUUUUUUUUUUGUAUUUAUUUUUCUAAUUUAAGCCCUGCCUUGCUUUUGGUGCUUAUCCAGCCUUCUUUGCUGGAUCCCCGUUAGAGAUUCACCAAGGCCUCUCCUCAGACCUCUUCUGAAAGUUUGCUAUCAGUUGAAGUUUCUGCUUAAUAAUCUACUCUAAUAAUCAAGUGUAUUCAACAUCUCCUUUCAUUUUUGACUUUUCUGCUUCUUUCUGUGGCCAUUAAGUCUCCAAUUUAUCCUGACAAACAUAGGAUUUGGAAUUCAUUACUUAGGCCAUUUCAGGUUGUCACGUAGCAAGGACUGAAGUGCGCCUGAAAACUAAGUUCUGAAUUUGCCAGCUGAGAGCUGAUCUAGGGAUCCUUCUCUUGGCACCAAGGACUGCAGGAAGUAUUUGCUAGAUUAGGAUGUACACCUGCUUUAUUAAAUUCCCUACAAAAUACUAAGUGGAAAAAAAAACCCCAAACCACCCAUAAACAACCUUUAGCAUAUUUUUGGUGUAGACUACCUGGUUUUUCAACAGCCAACUUUCAAUCUAUUUUUUUUUUUUUCCCCCAAUGUCUAAGAUGUUUAACACAGCAUAAAGGCAGCUGGUACAAUCCAAAGGCUGGGCUUAACUACGCUUUCCUUCAGUAUUGACUCUAAUACAGCCAUAGGCCUGACCCAUCAUGAACAUAUCCCUGAGGCCUCGGGAAAUACUUGCUAUUAAACGAAGGUUCUGUGGUGAAGUUUUGCUAAAACGGCCUCGCUGUAACUUCUAAACAUUGUAAAAAUUCUUCUGCAUGUUAGUGGUUGUGAAAUGUGCUGGUUCGUUAUCUGUGAAAACUGAAGCCCAUUCUUUAUGGAUUAAUUACAGCAGAGCAGUUGCCAAGUGAUCUUCUCCACAGCACCCACGAACUUUGGCCUUACACUGAAGAGGACUCGUCAAAUGCUUUGGGAGAUACAACACGGAAUUGGAAGAGAAGCAUGGAUCUACCUGAAGGGCAGUUCGCUGCAUUCUUGGUAAGUUCAAAACACGUGUAUAAAAUUUUAUCUCUGUUAAAUUUUCACCUUUAUGAAUUGACAUCUAUUUAAGGUCCUUUGCACAGGGACAGAACAAAGGCAGUUUCAUGGAAAUGGUCUCUAUUCUCUGGAUUCUUUUACGCUCUCACCCUGUAAAAACCUGUGUUGUGUUAUAGCUGAGUUUGUGGUGUGACUCCUGAAUGAAAACAGUAAAUGACAUGAAAUUCAGUUACUUUCACAGUGAUUAUACAACUGUGUUUUCAUGCCCACUUUCUGAAUAAAACAAGAUAUAUAGGAAUGAGUUUUCUCCUAGUAACUUCUGAAUCCACUGCUUCAUUUGAGCUGCAUUUGAUACAGAGAUAGAGGUCGCAAGGUCAAGUUUCUACAGUUUCAAUGAAACCUGGCAGAUGAGAUUAGAAAAAUGACUCGAAUUUGUGCCUCCAGGACAGAAAAAGCUUCAGCAUGGACUUGGAAGUUUUCUAUUCCAUUCAACCUGCUGCCUUGCAGAUUAGCAUCCUUGGUUGGUCUGAUGGUCACAAUGUGAGUUGCUCCCAGUAGUGAGAAGGUGGUGUUUUGUGAAGGAAUUUAGGGAAAUUAUUUAGAAGGGAGUGGGAAUCCAGCCAGGGUAACGUCAGCCUGGGAUUGCUGCACAAGUAUUUUGGGGCAUGUGCAAGCACAUUAGUAAAUAACUAGACUUUGUAACUUUGCUGGUCAUGAAAAAAACCCUUGUUUUUGCAAGAGCCUUCCAGUCUCCCAAACCAAUCAUGUACCCUUCAACUUUAUGGUGGUCUAUACCUACGUUAGAUGCAUGUUUUUCCUAUCCUUGUCAGAGAAGGGAAUUGUUGAGGCAGUUUCGCUAUUUCAUUUCUUUGAUGGCUUGAAUGUCAGCUCUGAGAUAUUCCAUAGGCUGUCACAUUUGUAACAGUGUGUUUUCCGCUCUUCUCAGAAACUGACUGUCAUUUGGACUGCAGCUAUGUGUCCCUGACCUCUCCUCCAGUCUGCACUCUCGGAGCAGUGCAUUGUAUUCCAGUUAACUUCCUUAUUGGAGAAAGAUGUGGAGCUAGGCAGAGGGGCAGAAAGCAGUAUUAGGAUCUGGCUGCAUAAGUUACCACGUUGCAUUGCAUCUUUGAUAAUGCCAUAUUUCCCUAGCUUUAUGGUCUUGGGCUCCUAGAGAACUGACUGUCCCAAAAAGUAUAGUCUGCUCAUUCUCAGUCAGUAAGAAAUGGGUACAUUAUACUUGCCAGAGGUACUGGUUCACUCAGGUAGGCUCAGGUGCUGGUUCACACUUGCAGGCUAAUGUGACUGGUAGGUCUGAUAUUUUUAAAUUUUCUGUGUAACAGUAGAUGGGAGAAGCAUUCAAGGCCAGACUGGAUGGGGCUUUGAGCAACCUGGUCUAGAGGGAGGUGUCCCUGCCUAGAGCAAGGGGUUGGAACUAGGUGACCUUAAAGGUCCCUUCCAACACAAACCAUUCUAUGAUUCAAUAAUUCUAUAUCUUAAGACACUUUUUGAACAGAACUUACAGCUGGAGCACCGAUCUUGAGAAAGAGGAGUUGAAUUUGUCAUUAUAAGUCAUGUAUAUAAACCAAAAGUUUUAAAGGGAAUAAAAGGCGAAGAAACACUUCAAAUUCAGUAACUUCUAAGACAACUGCCUUGAAAUUUGUUGUAAUGUCUGAAAUGUGGAUUUCAAAUUUUUGCUUGUCCUCCUGCCCAGUUGAAAGCUUUAAGCCUGGCAAGGAACAAAAAACUGUGGUGCUCUUCUCCAUUUUCUGUUUGUUUACAAGUCUGUUGUUUGACAAAAUCACAGCCAGUAAGAGAACAACUUGUUGCUCAAAAAUAAAACCAAAAGUAGAGAAUUAAAAAAGACUGCAUUCCAUCCUUAUGGAACUCCUGAUUCUUCUGUUAGAUUGUCAGAUCCUUUAAUUUGUUCGUAGCUUUUGCUUGUUUGUUUUAAAUAUUGUUGUUUCUUUAAUGGUAUCUAAAUUAAAGGAAUAAAGAAAUGUCUUCUGCAUGUUUCUAGGAUCUAGUUCUUAUAUCCUUUAUCAUCAGUGCUCUUGCACAGUGUCACCAGUUAAAUAUUAUUUCAUGGAACCCAUGGUUAAUGUGUUUGUAAAUGUUUUAUGAUAUAGAAAAGCGUUGUAACUGAAAAUAAAAUGCCUUUUAAAGAUCAACAUAGAUGUAUUUUUAAUAAGAACAGUGAGGUCAAAUCAUAAAUGUUAAGUUUUGUGUGAAUGGCAAAGAGGUGGUAUAUAUUUGUUUAACAUUACAUUUGUACUUCCUGCAUUCUAAAUAGUUUUCUGGAGGAGCUUAAAUUUAGGAAAUGAUUGCAGUUGAUUUUUGUAAGGAUUUUUUGUUUAAAAAAGAUCACUUUUAGUCUAAAAUUGACUACUGUUUAUCAUGUGUUUUCAAAUACUUUAGUCUUCGAUGCUGCUGUAUGUGGCCAGAUGCUUUCAUAGAAUCACAGAAUGGCCUGGGUUGAAAAGGACCACAAUGGUCAUCUAGUUUCAACCCCCCUGCUAUGUGCAGGGUCACCAACCACCAGACCAGGCUGCCCCGAGCCACAUCCAGCCUGGCCUUGAAUGCCUCCAGGGAUGGGGCAUCCACAACCUCCUUGGGCAGCCUGUUCCAGUGCGUCACCACCCUCUGUGCGAAAAACUUUCUCCUAAUAUCUAACCUAAACCUCCCCUGUCUCAGUUUAAAACCAUUCCCCCUUGUCCUAGAACUAUCCACCCUUGUAAACAGCCAUUCCUCCUCCUGUUUAUAUGCUCCCAUCAGGUAUUGGAAGGCCACAGUGAGGUCUCCCCGGAGCCUUCUCCAAGCUAAACAAUCCCAGUUCCCUCAACCUUUUCUCAUAGGAGAGGUGCUCCAGCCCUCUGAUCAUCUUAGUGGCCCUCCUCUGGACCUGCUCCAAGAGCUCCAUGUCCCUCCUGUGCUCGGGGAUCGUGAUCAUAAAGACCUCAGAAAUUCACUGACCUAUGCUGUCUCUCCAAACUUUAUGCUGAUUUGAAGCAGACUUAAACACUAAGAAGCAACUAUGAUAAUGGCUUUUUAUAAAGUAAUAAUUAAAAAUACAUCUAAAUUUCUACUUCAAAUGCAUAUUGGUAAAAGUUCCCAUAACGUGCUGCUGUUACAUGUAAGGCCUGUAAGCAAUUUGAAGUCAACAUUCUGUAAAAAAAGGAACUAAGAAUUCCUAUAAAUAACGUGCAACUUAAAGAUGUAUGGAACUCCUUUAUUAUGUGCUAAACGCUGUAAUAAAAUGGGCUAUCAGAGGGUUUUGCUGCAUGUUACUAAUUUUAAUUUCUUUUUUUUUAUCCCAAUAUUUUUGCAGGUGUGUGGAGGAACGGGUCCCGUGCUCACUGUUGUUACUCCCACAUAGGCGGACUCUGUAACUGAUUAUAUGUGGGUAGGGCCCUAUUGAAAUUAAGGAGAUUCUGCAGUAGUGCGGGGUUCUGUUUGUGUGACCCUACUGUGCCUUCUUACUGUGAAUUCUGUCAGUGUAUCAUGGGUUGUGCUGGAACCUGCCUUUUGGGAUAAUGUAAGUUCUGCCUUUCCCCCAAAUGUACUUUAGACGUGAAAUAAUCAUUAAAAAAAAAGUUUUGAAUUAGAAAAUAAAUAUAAUUUACAUGCGUUCUUUUAAUUAUGUUUUUUUGGCAGUACCAAAUAAUAUAUUCCUCAAAACUUCUUAAUGGCACUGAGGCUUUGUGGAUAGUUGGUCACAUGAUGAGAAAAUUCAGCUGUAAGUACACUGAAAUGAUUGAAUUUUUCAAUAGUUAGUCUUUGCUGAUGUUGACAGACUAAUAAUGAUAAAAGGGUUAAUCAAGAGGUGUGAUUUAUGUGUGACUCCGGUUCUUUUUAGAAAAUCCAUACAAUAUAUCCAUUAAGGAUAUCAUUAUUCUUGGAUAAUUCACCACGUGAACCCGGAGUCCUUCAGCACUGCUGUUAGGUAGGGAGUUUUCAUUUGUUUAUUUCCUUUGCUUUCAGAAGAGUGUGUUUCUGAGCUGCUCUCUAUCUUCACCCAUAAAAUUUUCCAAAUUUAUAGAUCUAUAAAAACCGUUUAUGCCUCCAAUAUUUGUGUAGCUACUGCAAGCAGAUUUACUAACAUAAUUGUCUUGCUGAGUUGAACGUUGAAAUGUUAAUAAAUAUAUACUUAUGCUCAUGUCAAAGUAACUUGGUUAAAUUAAACUAAACUGAUCUGACGUUAUGAGUGGCAAUUUGAUCACACAUGCUGAUUAAUUAUAGGCUUCUUAGGCAAGAACUGUAUAUUUUAUUUUAACUAAGUACCCUGUGCUUAAUCGGUAAUAAUUAUCCAUACCCUUUGUCAGUGGAUUCACCCAAAAUAACUAUAAAUAUACUUGUAUUGAAGAGGAAGUUUUUUGCUUGUAUCUAUGGGUACAGGCAUUGCUAUGAUUCCUAUUUUUAUAUCCAAGAGAGCAAAAAUUAUGUGUAGGUGUUUUACCUGUGUAACGCUAAUGGCUUUAUAAACUCCAUGCCCUUUUUUUUAUGAUGGUGUAUUUCCUUUCUGGUGUUCAAGUACAAAAAUGUUCUGAAGGCAAUCUUGUAUCUGGAAGAUGGAAGAACUAGAAUUGGUAUUGAAUCUGUGAGUAAUUAUUAAGGAAGUGUGAAGCUGUAGAGGAUUUGUAGGCAUGGCCAAUUAGAUAUUCCUUCAUGUAGAGCAAAGAUGCAGACAGUGAUUGGGGAGUAAAGAAAAAGAGAUUGUAGAAUUAUUUUUUUGCUUGGCACAAAAGUAACAUUAAAUGAAUUUGAAGAAAGAGCAAGACCAAAGAAGAGAUCAUAACCAGAUCAAAAGCAGACUUGAGAGUCCAAUUAACAAACAAAUGAACAAACAAACAAAAUAAAACUCAAAAAGAAACAAGGAACUAAACAGAAGAAUAUAUGGCAAAAAUAUGCCCAGAAGGAGAACUGAAUGUGUAGCUACUGGUACCUUUCAUUUCAUCAAAUAUCUGGUUGAUUUACCUAUCUAUUUAAUUUAAAACUUCCAGGAAAUGUCUUUCUCUACAGUUCUCUGCAGUUUUUUUGGAGGGGUCGUGUGGGCUUUGGAGAGUUAGUGACUGUGAAUUACCUGUAUAAACAGAGUAUUUGAGAUGACAACUGCAACUAAGAACAGAGGUCGAUGGUCUACAUAUGCUAAAAUGUGGCUAGUGCUAAGCAGAAGAAAGAGUUUCUUGUUCAAACUCAUAACUUAACUAUUUUAAAUUUGAACAUCUCAAAGAGAGCUCAAAACCCAAUGGGAUUAUUUUGGUUACGGGAUGUUACGGUGCUUCUUUUAUAAUUUCUGAACACAAAAAUGAAAUGGAGUUAUUUUUUAAUAUGAGAUGAAACCAUAGUUUGAGAACAUUGAAUGUUUCUCCUGAAUAAUGAGAACACUGAAUAUUUCACUUUGCAUCUAAAAUCUUGAAUGAUAUUUUUUUUGUUUGUUUGUUUAAAAAGCACAGUUCUAAUAGUUGACUGUUUUCAUCUUUUAGUUCUAUAUGCCAUAUUUAUUCUUACUUCCCCUAAGUUGUGCAAAGGAAAGAAAAGGAGAGAGAGAUCAGGUGAUUGCACAGCAACCAAACCCAGCCUCCUAUGUUCCCUCUCCACACCAGAUUGAAAAAAAAAAGUGCCUCAGAAAAGAUCUGGUUUCAGAAGAGAUAAAGAAGCAAGGUGAUAUAUUAGUGGGGUAUGAGGAGGCCCCUGGAUGUUUCAUAUGUCUCCAAGUUUUUCAGUCAUCUCUACGGAGGGCAGCUCAUACACAUCUGACUGCAUCUCCUUCCUGAGAGAGCAACUUCCCUGUGCUUUGAGAGAAAGAAUGUAGGGGCACAGCUCUAUUCUGCCUGAGGUAAUGCUGCUACAAAACACUGUUUGGAAGAAAAGGAACUCUGAAUUGUCUCCUGCUGUAUGUCUCCAGUACUCACGGCUGCUAACCCGUGUGGUUGAGCACCUGAUCUGCUUGUUCCUUUAGUUCAACCCAUUCUGUGCUGUUGUAAAUGACUAAAACUAGGAAACAGCAAGAAAGCAGACACGAAGAGAUCUUGUUGAUGUUUGUGGAAUUUAGGGUGUGGGCAUUUGCUACAUGGGCACACUUUAUGUAGGUUUGGGAAUACUUCAAGGGCUGGAAAUACCAAACUAGAGCAAAGGAGAGUAAUUUUCCUUCAGUGGCAAGCUGAAAUGAUAGCCUUGGUUCUGUACAAUAAGGAGGAAGAGGAAAGGAAUGUGCCUGAAUGUUCAGCAUGUUAGUUGUUUUAACUUUAAGCUGUAAGAUCUUUUUCUCCACUGCUGUUUGCGCUUGGCUUGUAUCACCAAUGUCCUGUCUUUGAGCUGGAUGUAGCAUGUUUUUGUUUGCUGAAUGAGGCACCCAUCAAAUUACAUUCUCAUGAACAUUCUUCUUCUUCAGUCCUUGAAAGUCAAAACAUGGUAGCUCAGGUAGCUGUAAUAACCCAGUAAUAAAUGUGGCGUGAAAGAAUUUUCUUAUUUCAUAGUACAGGAAGAACAGUGUUUUAUGUGUCACUUCAUAUACCUCCUCCCAUCUUCUUUUUUACUCCUAAGCAGAUCUAAUGCAUGAAAAUUUUCUUCAGCGUUGUCCUCAGUUCUUUAUUUCCAGUUACAACUUUUGUUAGCAAUUUUUUCAUAUUUUUGGUUGGGGUCCUCACAAAACCUCUCUGCAUCCUCGGUGAAUGACACCAUCAUGCUGUUGUUUGCUUUAAGUCAUCAAACCUAGGCUAAAUCUUAGUUUUUGGAAAUCUUUUUCCAAUCCUUCAGGGAUGCUCUUUCUUCUCUGUUGGUUGCUUGUAUUUUUCAUCCAGGUUUUCCAUGGAUCAUAUCGUUAUUAGAAAAUCUUCUUCUUUUGCCUUGACAAAUGUAGUCUUGUCAUUAUGCGUUCCAAGUGCUGCUGUAAAUAUCAGUUUCCAGAUUUACUCCUUUGGCUUUUUAAACUUCCUCCUUCAAUUGAAAGCAAUAAAGAUAAGCUAUCUGUCUUUGUUUUCAAGGCCCAUCAAGACUACUUCUACCUGAUACCUUUCCUUCAGUAUCAAGAGGUUGACUCUGAUUUUGAUCAACAUAUGAUGCCAGCUUCCAUCAUUCAGUUGUUAUAUUUUCACACUGGAUACUUUCUCCUCAGCUGCCUCUCGUGUAGUAGUUGACUCCUUCUUAAACAGAACUGUUUGCUGUCUCCCUUUAAUAUCUUCUUGAAAGUUUUAUGUACUGUGAAGCUUAUGACAAUCCAACUAGAAAAUAAGUAUGUUGUACAAGUAUACUAAUACCGAUGCUUGUCACAGUAAUACUUUGUCAUUGCCUUUGUACUCUGCAGUAAUCUCUGUUGUCUCUUCACGUAGAAUUCAUGUGGACUUUUUGUUGUAUGCUUAUUCAUGGCCCAGCAUAACGAGAAGUGGUCCAGGGUGUAGCCUUCUAGGAUUUGUGGUAAUGCAAAUAAAUAAUAAUGAACACUUGUUGGAUACUGCAGUGUAGCCUCUGGAUUCUGCUGAGCCCUGACUCGCAUCAUACUUAAUGCAGAAAUAAGGUGCUCACAAAAAUAGGGGCCUCACAAAAGGGAGAGAAGUGAGUUUCAGCCAACACAGAAAAUGCUAGCACCCCAGAAGUCUUCUCAGCUGUCGAACCCAAGUCAAUAGCUACUGGCAUUGUGUCCAGAAAGCACCCCUCUUUAUCUUCUCCACAGCAGUAACAGCAGACUCUCCCUCCUCAGAGGAAGUUAAUGUGAGUAUUAUGAAUCCUCAGUGUAUACAAGAGAUUAAAGGACUUCAUAUACUUCCAUAGUGUCAUUCUGCUACUUAGUGCCUUCCCUUCCUGACACAGCAUCUCUUGGUACAGAAAUCUUGAAUAACCACAGGCCAUUCUGUUGGUCAGUCCUUGUCAAAUGCCACUUGGUUCUCUGUUGAGAAGGAACCUGCACUAGUUUUGAUUCGGUAUCAAGGUACAUUGCUACCUGAUACUGCUCUGUUUCCCUGGUACCUUGAAGAUAAUGAUUCUUCAGAAGAGUGGUAAGCGUGAAUCGCAACAGGAAUUCCUCAGGUAUGUUGCUCUCUUUCUGGAAGUGGGUCUGCAUGUGCCCCUUUUCCUUCUUUCAAAGUGACACCAAAAUAUCAGCGUUUAGAUGAUAACAGAGAUGAUGAAAUGUUAGUGCCUUGCUGAUAGAGAAAUGAUAGAUUGGUCUGUUGGUCUCUAUAUGCUAACUAGUCAAAUAAGUUAAAUUUAUCAGACUAAACCAUAAAAUAUAAUUACAAGUGGUUCCAUAUCUGAGCAGGAGAAGCCUGGCAAGAGCUCUGAAUGAGCUGACAGAGUGGACACAGUGACCGUGAAAUACAGCAGGAGGCCAGAGAGGCUAUACAACUGAGAAGCUCGAUAGUAACAAGAGUUUUCAGUUUUCAAACUAUGGUCUGGAUAAGCUUAACAUUAGGGCAUCAUGCAUAAGCUGUGUUUUUAACUACCAUCAAGAACUAACUUUUGAGCAAACUAUCCAGAGAAUCCAGUAGAACGAGGACAGCUCUUGAGUUCGUUUAGAUUAGUAACCAGGAUUUGGUUGACAGAGUAACUAUAGGAAAGACAUUUGGUAGUGGUACAUCACAUCAAACUGAAGUUUGUCGUAUUUGCAUGAGAGAAAAAGAUAAAAAUAAAUAAACAAUCCAGUAUUGUUUAACUGUAAAAAAGAACUGCAUACAAAUGAAGAAAUCGUUCAAGUAAAAAUUGUAAGAGGCUAAGAGAGACACAGAGUGUUUGUUUUCUAAUUCUGACCCAAGUGAAUAAGAAUUCAUGACAACUGAGCAGUAAGGGAAGUUACGAGGAACAAAUAGAUGUUUUUCAAAAAGUGAAAUCCAAACAAGCAAAGAGGAGAAGAGCACAGUUCUGGGAAGUUAAAUGUAGACCUAUUCUAAGGAGGGACAAAAAGAUUUUGAGGAGCAAUAGGCUAAAAUCAUAAAAGCAAAAAGAAAAAUCUAUAAGUGUAAACUUUUCAGUUAAUUCUGCUAGCAGGACACCGAGUUCCAGAGACAGAAUAUUUAAAGGCAAAGCCACUACAGAAAGAAACAUAUGGACAAACCCUUGCAUUGGCAGAGUUUAUUCCAGGGAGAUUAGGUACAGUCCCAUAUAAAAGUUGUUCUUUAUAAGAAGUAUUUCAAUUUUUAAAUAUCAAUAAAAGAUUUUUGAACAACUUGAUUAAAUGGGCAUUAGCAGAUUGCCAGAUAGCACGAUGUUCUUUCGGUAGUUGCAGAGAAAUUCAGAAAUAAAACUGGUUAUCUGUGAACUGUGUUGUAUUAUCUAUCAUUUAAAUUGGUGUUGAUGACAGAGGAAUGGAAAGCAGCAAAUGUGACCAUGUUAAAAAGGUCUCUAGGGACGAUCGUGGACUAAUGUACUAAUAAGUCUGACUUCCAUGGCAGGCAAAAUGCCAGUGAAUGUGAUAAAGAAUAUAAUUAAUAGGAACACGUGUGGCUGUAAUAGGCAACCAUCACCUUGACUUUCUGUACAGGGUAGUUUUGUCUUACGGCUUCGCUUAUUGUUUGAAGCAGUAAACAGACACAUGGGCAUGGGUCACCCAAAAAGCUUUUAAAAAGGUCUAUCACCAAAGAAUGUUAACACAGUGAAGUGUUGAGAUACGUAAGAUUCCUUGUGGAUUAAUAAACGGUUACAAGAUAAAGAAGACUAUAGCAACUAGUAGGUGGCUUUAAUGACACCACCUCCCAGCAAUUUGUACUGGCACCUUUUCUGGUCCACCUGUUCCUAAAUGGUAUGAAAAAGUGCAGUGAUAAUGCUUAGAGACGAUAAAAGGCUACUGUGCAUUUGGAGUCAGAGCUGACGUUGGCCCUGAAGAGUUGCAGAAGGAUCUCACAGCACGGGCUGUGGUGCUGCAGGAGCCACGGCUGUCCCAGAGGCCAGGUAUGACUGACCCACUGUUAAACCAGACCUGUCAGCAGAGAGGGUCAUUACCUCAUCAUCUGUCAGCUCUGCAGGCUGCAGCCAGGCCUGCUGCUCAGGAAGGCAUGGACUUGCAGCUGUUCUAACAGGAGCUGCAACUUGGAAGUUCUACUUCCCUAUUUCUUAGGGUUUCACAGCCUUAGGUGAGCUUGAAAUACAGACUUUGAUCCUGGCAUUCCUGCCUGUCACAGAGGUGAAGUUUAAUUGUUAAGCUGAUGGCUGCUGUCUGGCUGCUGUGAAAAGCCUGGGUUCUCAAGCCUUUUCCUAAUGCUUGUGUGGAUUUUUAGCAGCUCUUGCUGAUUUCUUGAAAUCAUUCCGGAUGGAUUUGAUGCAAUAUGGUACUUGAAACAAAGGAGUCAUGCUGGCAUACCAGUCAGUUUUGAGCACUGAUGAGAAUUAUAUAAAAAACAGACACGGAUGAUGAAGAUAUGGCACAGCUAUUGUGCAGGGACAGUAACAGAAUCAGGAUUCUUCAUUUUGGAAAAAUGCUGGCUGAGGAGUCAUAACAUGAGAAAGAUCUCUAAAACCACGAAUAUGUGGAAGCAUUUAAUAGGAGACUCUAACUCUUUAUUUCUUAGAAUAGAAUAACAAGGAGCCCUUGGUCACUGUUUUCUGUAUCUUAGGUGACCUUUAUGAUAGCAGAAGAUACCAGUUUCAUCUGCCAUAGUUCUGUGGCACAAAACUGCACAUCUGUUUGUCCUGGACCAGCCGUGGCCAAAACCCAACCUGUGUAGAAUUACAGCUUUUCUGUAAAUAAAAGCUCGUAGGCCUUGUUGUCUGAUGAUAAAUUUUCAAAUAUGAAUCAAAUGUAAAUUGGUCCCUUUUUCCUAAACCUGAAAGAUAUACAUAUAUUUAUUGAUAUCUAAACUAUGCUUCUGUCUAUUCCUUUGUCUGGCAGUAGUAAUGUUAUGGUCAUAUUGGCCUUACUUCUCCUGUUUACAAAUGUAUGGGCGAAGGAGAUUGCCAGUUUGCUGCUACUUCAGAAAGCCAGAAGCAAAUAGCAGGUCCUAAAAUCAGUCUCAAGGGAAAUCAGAUAGAGGAGCAGUAACGUUUAACACAGCAACCAGAAGGUCAGGAGGGAGGGAGGGAGCAGGGAACAUCAUCGUAUUUCUGACGUGGCAGGAAUGGUUUUCAAGCUGUGGUCCACUAAGCCCUAAUGGGUUACAGGGCUAUGGUAAGUUGAACAGCCUUUGGGCUAAACCAUAUCUAAUGGUGCUUUAAAUAGUGCCUUCAAUUAAAAGUUUAAUCAGGUGGGAGUGUGCUGUUUUGUGAAAAAUGUUAAGGGCUGACAGCAAUCUAUUGCUCCAGAAAUUUGGGCUCUGCUCUUCUGCUGUGUAUGAAAAGGCAGAGAGCACUGCCUGCUUUUUCAACAUUAGAUAGGCCACAUGCCUCUGCAGGAGAAGCAUAGAAUCAUAGAAUCGCCAAGGUUGGAAAAGACCCACAGGAUCAUCCAGUCCAACCAUCCGCCCUUCACCAAUGGUUCCCGCUAAACCAUGUCCCUCAACACAACAUCCAAACGCUCUUUGAACACCACCAGGCUCGGUGACUCCACCACCUCUCUGGGCAGCCCAUUCCAGUGCCUGACCACCCUUUCAGAGAAGUAGUAUUUCCUAACGUCCAGCCUGAAGCAGCAGCAAGAGAUUCCCAGAGGGAGCCAGGAAGAUCAAGCUGGUAGCAGCAACCCUUCUGUCCCCACCACGUCCUUCCCAGGAUCUAGUAACAGAACGGCUGCUUUUUUAAUUGUUGCCUUGUCCUGAGCACCGCUAAUAGUCUUUGCUCCUCUUCCUUUCCAUCUGCGCUCAUGAAUAGUGGAUUUAGUGGCCUGAGAAGUGAGGAUUGGGUCCCCAUAGCACAAAGAUUAGACUUCUCAUCUUAAUCAAAUGAAAACAUAUGUACAUCUUUGAAUGCUUAUCUGACUUUCUAGCAACAUUAGCAGAUGCAGACUUUUCUUACGAGUAUUAGCAUGUCUUAGCACAGGAUCAGUUUAUUACUCUAAAAAAAUCCACUCCUAUUUGACCACGCUCUUUAGUUUACAUAAGCUCCCCGGAUGGUAAUUUUACAUUGUAAAAACCUUCCUUUUCCUCCUAUCAAGCCUCCUAUUAUUAUUAUUAAUAUCAUCCAUACUGACAAUUUUCCAGAAUCGUAAUGUAUUUGUAUUAGCUAUGCUUUCAGUUGCCCCAGCGUAGGUUACUUUCUGUUGUCAUAAAUACCACACAAGCACAUCCAUAAAUAAUUUGCAGACAUUAUAUCUUUUCCAACAUACUGCACAGCUUUUUAGCAAUCACGGUGGUGCUGAAGUGGAGAAAUGCCAAACUAUAAACCUUCAUUCAAAUGGUAUAAAUGUGUUUAUCCUGAAGAAGUCUAUUGUCUUACCUAAAGUUAGAUUGUAGCAUACGUAUUAUAUGAAAGGUAAGCAAAAUACUACUGGCAACAGCAGUUACAGUAACGGUGUUCUAAGGGAAUUAAAGUAGGCCAGCAUGCUCUGUGUAACCCUUUUUUUGUCGCAUCUCUCUUAUUCCUGUUUUUUUGAUACAUAUAGGAAAUGAGUUUUGUGAAUGCUUUUAUAUUAUUGUUAUUAUAUUAUUAUUACUAAAUGCCCCUUGCUAACUGAUAGGAUUCUGCAGUCACUUUUCAGUGUUCUAAUAUGUACAGUGCGUAUGGUUGGUUUGUCUUGUUCACAUGCACAGGGCUAAGCUGGGUAUGAGGUCAGGAGGAAAUCUUUGCCUUGUAUCAGAAACGUACAAGGGAGGAGAGUGCUUUUCUAGCACUGUAGUGUGGAAAAAAACUUAUUUACCAGUGUCAUCUGGGGGUGAUAGGAGAGAGGGAUUAAUAUGCUUAUAAGGAAGGCAUGUGGGUAUAGAAGCAGUGAUGGGGUAUAUGGGUAGAACUGAAGAUCAGUGUAUGGGAGUAAAGAUUUAGGGGCAGAGGUCAGAACAGGAUUCCUGUAGGAGCUGGAGAGGUCACAGCUGGAUAAAUGCAUUGGGGUCAGCUGGAAGUCAGUACCCCAAACGUGGCUAUAGCUCUGCCACAUCCUCACUGCACACUUUCCCUGUCUGUUCUCUCCUGUGUCUUCUGGAAUCCCAGCUUCUUGUCUGAUUGUGAACUGGAAACCUUACUUUCCUGCUUACUCCAGAAACAAGGAUACACACACAAGUACAGAAGGCCCCUCAAACCCCUCCCAUUGGAAGCCUCUCUUCUUACUGUUCUUUCUAUGGGAUUCUGCAAUGUAGGUACAGCCAGGUGAGAAGUGGGCGCUGGGAGCAAAAUAAUGCCUCUGCUUCGCCUCUUCGUUUGCAUCUUCUCCAAGUGGGAUGUAUCCCAUCAUUAGAAAUCUGCUCGUCAAAGAGGAGUUCUUUCAUUCUUUUUCCCCCCUAUUCGUUAGAAUGUGACAGGUUUUUUUUUCUAUGUGGUGAAAUACAGUUUUUUGAUAAUGUUUGUCUUACCAAGAAGCACAACAGUUCGGGAUUUCUAGAGCCUAAUCUCUUCUAAUUCACAAUUCUUUGUGAUCCAGGACCUUCUUAAAAAGAAAGAAAUCCAGUGGGUGAGUGCAGCUACUGCUGAUACUGUCAGCCUUCUGACAGCAUGCCUCGUUUUUUCAAUUACUAUUUUGCAGCCCACUUAAAAAUUGUUCAUAAAACCUCAAGAGUCUGCAGAUUGAGAGCCACUUUCUAAGGGGGUAUCUUUAAAUGCACGUUACUGUGUUGGUGGGGUUUUUUAAUUCAGGUGUUGGGUCUUCUAUCCCAUCUGUGAAACACCAAGUGUUGAUAACCAUCUGUGAAACAACAUUUGAUGUAAUGGCUACGACACUGCUUUAGAAAGCUUGUGAAAUAGAUUGCCUGGUUAGAAGAGCUGGCAUCUAAAAAUGUAUGUCAUGGACACAGGUAAUAAAUGUUGCUUGGGAGCUGUUACAGGGGAAAAAGAACUUAAUUUGUGUACGAUAUACUGGUCUUAACUUCUUAGCUUUUUAAGAUGUCUUUCUAAGUAUCCUGCUGUAUGCUCGUAAAGUAUUUAAAGAUACGAGUCAUUGCAUUUGCUGAAGUAUUCAGUGCAUCAUUUAAAAUGACUACCAAAGGAGAGAGGUGGAUUCACUUCACAUAACAGCUAAGCAUAAAAAUAAUGAUUCAGAAAUGAUCGUGUGGUUCCAGAUCAGUAAAAAUCAUUUUGUUUUUCUGUACAAGCAGAGCUCUGCACAGAACGGUGAUCUCAUUCUACCUUGUCAGAUUACAGUUCCCUACACAGAUUUUCAGUACUAAACUUUAUUCUGGUGAUUUUGUAACUUUAUUCAGAAAAAGGGGGAAAUAUAAACACU
ensembl:lncRNA